rnacentral:tRNA from 1 species
GGGGUUGUGGCUCAGUGGUAGAGCGCUCGCCUAGCAUGUGCAAGGGUUCAAUCCUCAGCACCA